GUAGGUGGCAAGCGUUGUCCGGAACUUAUUGGGCGUAAAGCGCGCGCAGGCGGUCCUUUAAGUCUGAUGUGAAAGCCCACGGCUCAACCGUGGAGGGUCAUUGGAAACUGGGGGACUUGAGUACAGAAGAGAAAAGCGGAAUUCCAAGUGUAGCGGUGAAAUGCGUAGAGAUUUGGAGGAACACCAGUGGCGAAGGCGGCUUUCUGGUCCGUAACUGACGCUGAGGCGCGAAAGCGUGGGGAGCAAACAGGAUUAGAUACCCUGGUAGUCCACGCCGUAAACGAUGAGUGCUAAGUGUUAGGGGGUUUCCCGCCCCCUUAGUGCUGCAGCUAACGCAUUAAGCACUCCGCCUGGGGAGUACGGCCGCAAGGCUG
rnacentral:rRNA from 1 species